UGGGGAAUAUUGCACAAUGGGCGCAAGCCUGAUGCAGCCAUGCCGCGUGUGUGAAGAAGGCCCUCGGGUUGUAAAGCACUUUCAGCGAGGAGGAAGGUGGUGAGCUUAAUACGCUCAUCAAUUGACGUUACUCGCAGAAGAAGCACCGGCUAACUCCGUGCCAGCAGCCGCGGUAAUACGGAGGGUGCAAGCGUUAAUCGGAAUUACUGGGCGUAAAGCGCACGCAGGCGGUUUGUUAAGUCAGAUGUGAAAUCCCCGGGCUCAACCUGGGAACUGCAUUUGAAACUGGCAAGCUAGAGUCUCGUAGAGGGGGGUAGAAUUCCAGGUGUAGCGGUGAAAUGCGUAGAGAUCUGGAGGAAUACCGGUGGCGAAGGCGGCCCCCUGGACGAAGACUGACGCUCAGGUGCGAAAGCGUGGGGCAGCAAACAGGAUUAGAUACCCUGGUAGUCCACGCUGUAAACGAUGUCGAUUUUGGAGGUUGUGCCCUUGAGGCGUGGCUUCCGGAGCUAACGCGUUAAAGUCGACCGCCUGGGGGAG
rnacentral:rRNA from 1 species